rnacentral:rRNA from 1 species
AAUGAACGCUGGCGGCAGGCCUAACACAUGCAAGUCGAGCGGAGCGGCGGACGGGUGAGUAAUGCCUAGGAAUCUGCCUGGUAGUGGGGGAUAACGUCCGGAAACGGGCGCUAAUACCGCAUACUAUCAGAUGAGCCUAGGUCGGAUUAGCUAGUGGGUGGGGUAAAGGCCUACCAGGGCGAAGAUCCGUAACUGGUCUGAGGGGAUGAUCAGUCACACUGGAACUAUGACACGGCCCAGACUCCUACGGAAGGAACCAGUGGGGAAUAUUGGACAAUGGGCGAAAGCCUGAUGCAGCCAUGCGGCGUGUGUGAAGAAGGUCUUCGGAUUGUAAAGCACUUUAAGUUGGAAGGCGUUACCAACAGAAUAAGCACCGGCUAACUUCGUGCCAGCAGCCGCGGUAAUAC